UACGGGGGGGGCAAGCGUUGUUCGGAAUUACUGGGCGUAAAGGGUUCGUAGGCGGGUCUUUAAGUCAGGGGGGAAAUCCUGGAGCUCAACUCCAGAACUGCCUUUGAUACUGAAGAUCUUGAGUUCGGGAGAGGUGAGUGGAACUGCGAGUGUAGAGGUGAAAUUCGUAGAUAUUCGCAAGAACACCAGUGGCGAAGGCGGCUCACUGGCCCGAUACUGACGCUGAGGCACGAAAGCGUGGGGAGCAAACAGG
rnacentral:rRNA from 1 species